AGAUGCUGCGCAGCAGUCUCCGAUUCCCCAUCACCAAUUCGGCUGGCGUCUCCGAGACCGCGGACUCCCGUAGGGUCCCCGUGGCCCCGAGUUGUAGUCGGGACACCCCGGCCGCGGGUGAUCGUCGGGUCUCCACGCGCCCGGGUCGCUGACGCGGAUCCGGCCUCGGCGCCUUCUCAGGGCGCCCUGCAAGGCCGCAGGCAGGAUGAACAUUCUGGCACCCGUGCGGAGGGAUCGCGUCCUGGCGGAGCUGCCCCAGUGCCUGAGGAAGGAGGCCGCUUUGCACGGGCACAAAGACUUCCACCCCCGCGUCACCUGCGCCUGCCAGGAGCACCGGACAGGCACCGUGGGGUGAGUUAGGGACACCCACAACAAAGAGAGGAGGUCCCAGGAAACUCUGUAGUCAUAGCGAGGGUAAACAACCACCCCCUUGGGGCUUCAUUUCAGCCCCUACCAGCUAUAUGGUUAUUUCCCCCUCUUUAAGCCCCUGUAUCCCCU
rnacentral:lncRNA from 1 species